AUACUUACCUGGCAGGGGAGAUACCAUGAUCAUAAAGAUGUUUUUUUCCAGGGCGUGACUUAUCCAUUGCACUCAGCAUUGAGCUGAACCCUUCGUUUUCUCCCAAUGUGAGAAACUUGACUGUAUAAUUUGUGAUACUGGAGGACUGUGUUUGCACUCUCCCUGA